rnacentral:rRNA from 1 species
GAUCCUGGCUCAGAAUCAACGCUGGCGGCGUGCCUAACACAUGCAAGUCGAACGCGAAAGUGGCUUCGGCCAUGAGUAGAGUGGCAAACGGGUGAGUAACACGUGGGUGACCUGCCUUCGAGUGGGGGAUAACACCCCGAAAGGGGUGCUAAUACCGCAUGAUAUCCUGCUUUUGAACAGGCGGAGAUCAAAGCCGGGGAUCGCAAGACCUGGCGCUUGAAGAGGGGCCCGCGCCCGAUUAGCUAGUUGGUGGGGUAAUGGCCUACCAAGGCGACGAUCGGUAGCCGGCCUGAGAGGGCGGACGGCCACACUGGGACUGAGACACGGCCCAGACUCCUACGGGAGGCAGCAGUGGGGAAUUGUUCGCAAUGGGCGCAAGCCUGACGACGCAACGCCGCGUGGAGGACGAAGAUCUUCGGGUCGUAAACUCCUGUCGAGCGGGACGAAACCCUUCCGGGUGAACAAUCCGGAAGGCCGACGGUACCGCUAAAGGAAGCCCCGGCUAACUCCGUGCCAGCAGCCGCGGUAAUACGGGGGGGGCAAGCGUUGUUCGGAAUUACUGGGCGUAAAGGGCUCGUAGGCGGCCCGCUAAGUCGGACGUGAAAUCCCUCGGCUCAACUGAGGAAUGGCGUCCGAUACUGGCGGGCUUGAGUUCGGGAGAGGGACGUGGAAUUCCAGGUGUAGCGGUGAAAUGCGUAGAUAUCUGGAGGAACACCGGUGGCGAAGGCGGCGUCCUGGACCGACACUGACGCUGAGGAGCGAAAGCCAGGGGAGCAAACGG